rnacentral:rRNA from 1 species
GUCGAGAAUAAUUCACAAUGGACGAAAGUCUGAUGGUGCAACGCCGCGUGGAGGAUGACGGUCUUCGGAUUGUAAACUCCUGUCAUCCGGGAGUAAGACCUGGCUGUGAAUAGCAGACAGGGUUGAUAGUACCGGAAGAGGAAGGGACGGCUAACUUCGUGCCAGCAGCCGCGGUAAUACGAAGGUCCCGAGCGUUGUUCGGAAUCACUGGGCGUAAAGGGAGCGUAGUCGGCGUGGUAAGUCAGAUGUGAAAGCCCGGGGCUCAACCCCGGAACUGCAUACGAUACUGCCGUGCUAGAGGAUUGGAGAGGUAGCUGGAAUUCUUUGUGUAGCAGUGAAAUGCGUGGAGAUCAAGAGGAACACUCGUGGCGAAAGCGAGCUACUGGACAAUAUCUGACGCUGAGGCUCGAAGGCCAGGGUAGCGAAAGGGAUUAGAUACCCUGGUAGUCC